rnacentral:rRNA from 1 species
AACGCGAAGAACCUUACCUACUCUUGACAUCCAGAGAACUUUCCAGAGAUGGAUUGGUGCCUUCGGGAACUCUGAGACAGGUGCUGCAUGGCUGUCGUCAGCUCGUGUUGUGAAAUGUUGGGUUAAGUCCCGCAACGAGCGCAACCCUUAUCCUUUGUUGCCAGCGAUUCGGUCGGGAACUCAAAGGAGACUGCCAGUGAUAAACUGGAGGAAGGUGGGGAUGACGUCAAGUCAUCAUGGCCCUUACGAGUAGGGCUACACACGUGCUACAAUGGCAUAUACAAAGAGAAGCGACCUCGCGAGAGCAAGCGGACCUCAUAAAGUAUGUCGUAGUCCGGAUCGGAGUCUGCAACUCGACUCCGUGAAGUCGGAAUCGCUAGUAAUCGUAGAUCAGAAUGCUACGGUGAAUACGUUCCCGGGUCUUGUACACACCG